AUUGAACGCUGGCGGAAUGCUUUACACAUGCAAGUCGAACGAUGAAGCCUAGCUUGCUAGGUCGAUUAGUGGCGAACGGGUGAGUAAUAUAUCGGAACGUAUCCAAUAAUGGGGGAUAACUAGUCGAAAGAUUGGCUAAUACCGCAUACGUCCUACGGGAGAAAGCUGGGGAUCGUAAGACCUGGCGUUAAUGGAGCGGCCGAUAUCUGAUUAGCUAGUUGGUGAGGUAAAGGCUCACCAAGGCGACGAUCAGUAGCUGGUCUGAGAGGACGACCAGCAACACGGGAACUGAGACACGGUCCAGACUCCUACGGGAGGCAGCAGUGGGGAAUUUUGGACAUGGGCGAAAGCCUGAUCCAGCCAUUCCGCGUGAGUGAAGAAGGCCUUCGGGUUGUAAAGCUCUUUCGCAAGGGAAGAACACUUACUUAAUAACACUAAGUGAGGUUGACGGUACCUUGAUAAGAAGCACCGGCUAACUACGUGCCAGCAGCCGCCGUAACAC
rnacentral:rRNA from 1 species